UUGAAUUUGGAAGAAGGCGAGAAAAGCUGUGUGAAUAGAAGAUAGAGCCCGUACCGCAAACCGACACAGGUAGAUAGGAAGAAGAUUCUAAGGCCAACGGGAGAAGGGUUGUUAAGGAACUCGGCAAGUUGACCCCGUAACUUAGGGAGAAGGGGUGCUCUUUAAGGAGAGCCGCAGAGAAUAGGCCCAAGCGACUGUUUAGCAAAAACACAGCUCUAUGCUAAAUCGAAAGAUGACGUAUAUGGGGUGACACCUGCCCGGUGCCGGAAGGUUAAGAGGAGGAGUGAGAGCUCUGAAUUGAAGCCCCGGUAACCGGCGGCCGUAACGAUAACGGUCCUAAGGUAGCGAAAUUCCUUGUCAGGUAAGUUCUGACCCGCACGAAUGGUGUAACGAUUUGGGCACUGUCUCAACAACCUGCCCGGCGAAAUUGUAGUACCGGUGAAGAUGCCGGUUACCCGCGACUAGACGGAAAGACCCCAUGGAGCUUUACUGCAGCUUAAUAUUGAAUUUCGGUAUUUCAUGUACAGGAUAGGUGGGAGACAGGGAACCAUAGGCGUCAGCUUAUGGGGAGUCGACCUUGGGAUACCACUCUUGAGGUGCUGGAAUUCUAACCUGUGGCUCUGAAUCGAGUCAGGGGACAUUGUUAGGCGGGCAGUUUGACUGGGGCGGUCGCCUCCAAAAAGGUAACGGAGGCGCUCAAAGGUUCGCUCAGCAUGGAUGGAAACCAUGCUUUUGAGUGUAAACGCAAAAGCGAGCCUAACUGCGAGACUGACGGGUCGAGCAGUAACGAAAGUUGGAGUUAGUGAUCCGGCGGUAUGUGAGUGGAAAUGCCGUCGCUCAACGGAUAAAAGCUACCCUGGGGAUAACAGGCUGAUCUCCCCCAAGAGUCCACAUCGACGGGGAGGUUUGGCACCUCGAUGUCGGCUCAUCGCAUCCUGGGGCUGAAUUCGGUCCCAAGGGUUUGGCUGUUCGCCAAUUAAAGCGGUACGCGAGCUGGGUUCAGAACGUCGUGAGACAGUUCGGUCCCUAUCUGUCGUGGGCGUAGGAUAUUUGAAAGGAGCUGUCCCUAGUACGAGAGGACCGGGAUGGACGCACCGCUGGUGCACCAGUUGUCAUGCCAAUGGCACAGCUGGGCAGCUAUGUGCGGAACGGAUAAACGCUGAAGGCAUCUAAGCGUGAAGCCGACCUUAAGAUAAGAUAUCACUUCGUAAGAGUAAGACCUCUCAUAGACUAUGAGUUUGAUAGGCCUAAGGUGUAAGCACAGUGAUGUGUUCAGCCUGCAGGUACUAAUCGGUCGAGGGCUUUUC
rnacentral:rRNA from 1 species